rnacentral:lncRNA from 1 species
ACAAUCCUCCUGCCUCACUUCCCUGGGGCUCAAAUCACAGGUAAAAAUCACCCUGCUAAGUUUACAAACUUGUUUUCUACAGAUUUGAGAUUACAAUUGUUUUAAUGUGUAGCCUCCACUCAGCACAGCAUUGACUUCUGGUGAUGGGUAGUUAAAUCUUCAGUGAUCAAAGGAAUUGUAUAAUAGACACAGAUGGAGUAAACUGGUUCACUUACCCACUUUCUUUUAACAUUCUUUUCUCAUUGUAUACUUUGAAAUCCGAACUCAUUGAAGCUAAACCUGAUGGAAAAACAAACUCUUUGAAUUGUAUACAUUAUUUACAUUUGAAAAUACUCAAAUUUUAAGGUUUAGGAAGCUCAGCCAGUACCACAGUGGGCCUAGAAUUCCAUUAAGUUAACAUAAACUUAGUAUGUCCUUGUUAACUCUUUCUGCUCAUUUCUUUUAUUCAGAAAUUAAUAACAAUAUAAGGUAACUGUGAAGUGCUAUGCUUAUCUUUGUUAUGAUCAUUAUUUGAAAAAGAAGAUAAAAGAAAUAUAAAACCUGAGAAAAUCAUUGUAAGAGGCUUACUGAAAUAAUGUUUUUUAUAGCUCAAUAUAAUAUAAUUAACAGUUAACCUUUACCAAGCCAUUACCACAUAUGUUACCUGUUACCUGUUGUAGCUCAUUUAAUUCUUACAGUGAAUUAGGAGAUAGGUUAUUUUUCUUCAUUAUACAGAUAAUAAAAAUGACUACUAUAUGACUUUAGAGCACUCACAUUUUAUUAUUUGUAUUCCUUAUGUGUAAAGUAUAAGAAUAAAUAAUGCUUGUCUUACUUAACUUACAGAAUUUCUGUAGAAGUCAUGUGAGAAUAUAUUUGUGUUCUAUUUCAAAAGGUAUGUGACAUAAUUAUCCCUGCACUCACUUAACUAUUGAUUUGGAUGCAGUUAAGAGAUAAAACCUCACAGAUUUACCGACGUUUAAGGUUAUCUUCGCAAUAUUAAAUUGUAGAAAUGUGCUUCUGAGAGAAGCUCCCAGUGAAAGCCGGAGCUUCAUAGAAUGGGCGAACUACCUGGUAAAGAAAUACUUGCUGCAUUUCUUGACUCCUAAGCAUAAAUCAAGGCCAAAACCCCCUACUGUACUGGAUGUCACAUGGUUUCUCACUGCUACGCACUGUAUGAGGUUAAAAGCCAGUUUAUAAGUAUCUCAGGUAAAUCUGUAAAAGAUUAUUAAUUAUUAAAGAUCUCAACAUGGUGUCUUUCUGUGUGAUAAAAUGAAAAGAAGUAAUAGGCAUUCCUCCUGUACACACAAUUAUGAUGGUUAUAUCAAUCAAAACACUUGUGAUUGAGUUGUAUGAUGAACUACCUAUAGUUUCAUGGAACACAUUGUUAUUCAUGGAACAGCUGAUGGGCAAAUCAUGGUUAUUCUAAAUUGAAUUUCUGUCCAACAUAAAAUGAUUAAAUGUCAUCUGCCACUUUAAGAAAAGCA